AUGCUCCCAGAAAACCUAACGGACUUUGAAGCUGCCAUUAGGCAAAAAAGGGAGUGGCCAACGAAGAAGAUGAAGACUAAAUUAAAGGAUCGGAGAAGGAGCGGAGGAGCAUGGCGGCGCAGCGGCGGAGGAUGUAAAUCCGGCAGCGUUGCUCCUUGAUCAGAGAAGCACACUUGCGCGUAAAACCAGUAUUGAUCUGUUUAUUCUUGCUCAUCUUCAUCAAUUGUUGAAUUGAAGAUUUUUAAUUUGAUUAGUAGCGGAGAGAGAUCGGAGACAGAUUGCAGGUGGGCGGCCGGCGGUAAGGGGAAAAAAGCCCUCCGAUUUGGAGCUGGACCCUGAGAGCAAAACGGUAGAGGUGACACUGUAUUUAUACCUACCCAAACAGACAUGAUUUACAAGUUAUUACAAUGAAUAUGGACAACAUGCAUGCAUCUUUGAAACAGAUGAGGGAUUUGCAUGGAAAAGAGGGCGGAUUACAUGCGCCGUAAUCUUACUUGUUAAGCGGUCGGGGAUGGGUCAAGUCUAGCACUGCGUCUUAAAAAUGUGACAGUAUAUAAACAAAUAAAGUUGUAUCAUUGAUUAUGAGCUGUAACUUUUGACAUAGUAGUAAGUGUUUGAUCUAACAAGGGGUAUCAAAGCUAGAUAGACCAAGAGAGUGUUUGCAAAAAUAAUCAAAUUUAGGCUCAGGUUAGAUCGAGAGAGUAUUGGUAAGAACUGAACUAUUGUGACAUUUUGGUUCAAAAAUCAUGUUUCAGGACAAAAUUGCAUUUCUUUUA